rnacentral:snoRNA from 1 species
GUGAGGUGAUGACGAAGUUUAUCCAUUCUCUGAGUGCAGCUGUGCUGCCCUCCUGCAGCACCCCGGUUCCUGUCCUAGGGUCUGGGUGCUGCGCGGCCUCCAGACACCCUCCAGUCUCCCAGUGUCCUACUGGGGCUGCUGUGGUGUGUGGCUGGCUGCCUGCAGGAGGGGAGUGGUGCUGGCAGGGCUGGAGCCCCCCUUCUGGGGGCGCUCUGUCCUCACCGAGAUGAGGGAUGAUGUCUGAUCAC